UGAGAUUGCGAUGAGGAUAAAUAAGCUCCCUCUUCUGACACUAAAGUUGAGGAGAAUUGCUGGCAGAAUCGAACCUAAUACUUAACUAGCCACCACUGAGCAA